rnacentral:rRNA from 1 species
GACGAACGCUGGCGGCGUGCUUAACACAUGCAAGUCGAACGGAAAGGCCCUGCUUUUGUGGGGUGCUCGAGUGGCGAACGGGUGAGUAACACGUGAGUAACCUGCCCUUGACUUUGGGAUAACUUCAGGAAACUGGGGCUAAUACCGGAUAGGAGCUCCUGCUGCAUGGUGGGGGUUGGAAAGUUUCGGCGGUUGGGGAUGGACUCGCGGCUUAUCAGCUUGUUGGUGGGGUAGUGGCUUACCAAGGCUUUGACGGGUAGCCGGCCUGAGAGGGUGACCGGGCACAUUGGGACUGAGAUAGGGACCAGAGUCGUACGGGAGGCAGCAGUGGGGAAUAUUGCACAGUGAGCGGAAGCCUGAGGCAGCAGCGCCGCGUGCGGGAUGACGGCCUUCGGGUUGUGAACCGCUUUCGCCUGUGACGAAGCGUGAGUGACGGUAAUGGAUAAAGAAGCACCGGCUAACUACGUG